GUGCUCCCUUUAGCAGCAUAUAUACUAAAACUAGAAUGAAACAGAGAAGAUAAGCUGACUCCCGACCAAUGAGGACACGUAAAUUCAUGAAGCGUUCCAUAUUCUU